rnacentral:rRNA from 1 species
UACGAAGGGGCUAGCGUUGUUCGGAAUUACUGGGCGUAAAGCGCGCGCAGGCGGCUAUCCAAGUCAGUGGUGAAAGCCCGGAGCUCAACCUCCGGAACUGCCAUUGAAACUGUUUAGCUGGAGUAUGAGAGAGGUGAGUGGAAUUCCAGUGUAGAGGUGAAAUUCGUAGAUAUUGGGAAGAACACCGGUGGCGAAGGCGGCGACCUGGUCCGAUACUGACGCUGAGGCGCGAAAGCGUGGGGAGCAAACAGG